CAGACCAGAGAAAAGUCUUCUCUGAAAGUAUGAAGUCUCAGUCCCCAUCCUAAAGGUCCAGACCUUCAUAAUAUGAUGCUGCUGUUGUUUGGAUAAAGAACAGAUUGCCACAAAGAGAGGUGCUUUUCUUCCCACUCGAGGUCUGACUCUGAAGAAUGGAAAGUCAGCUACAUCUCCUGCUCUUAAAAGUAAUGGCCUUUUGAAGAAGAGGUCCGGUAGUGCCCUACAGUGCAAUAUCCCCUAUUCACCAGGAGCUGGUGCUUCAGAGUCAGACAUUGCAUAAAACCAUGGAAGCCAAAACACAUCAUUACCUUCCAAUAUGCUCCUUAAGGAUGAUGUGAGUCAGACCAUGGAUGAGCUUAGAAAGAGAUAAGAAUUAGCAAUGAUAUUGGCUUCAGAAAGGAGUUAUUGUAUAGAAAGAAUGCCCAAACGAUGAAGAAAGAACAGAUUUACUCACUCUUAUUAAGGCAAGUAGCAUAUUUACAAUGAAUUAACAGAAUAAAUACAUACUCAUUUAAAUAUUAUGAUCUUCUAUAGAAUUAGAUAAAUGUUGACUUUAAUACAAUCAAAGUUGUAUUUUUGGCGGACUCUUCAGCUGUUGCUAGCUUUGUGGAGCAUAUAUGUUAAAAGACUGAGUGCAAAUAGAAGGCCAAUGACAUAAAGUAUAAAUUAGAAUCCAUACUUCCUUAAUUCAU